UACGGAGGGGGCUAGCGUUGUUCGGAAUUACUGGGCGUAAAGCGCACGUAGGCGGCUUUGCAAGUUAGAGGUGAAAGCCCGGGGCUCAACUCCGGAAUUGCCUUUAAAACUGCAUCGCUAGAAUUGUGGAGAGGUAAGUGGAAUUCCGAGUGUAGAGGUGAAAUUCGUAGAUAUUCGGAAGAACACCAGUGGCGAAGGCGACUUACUGGACACAUAUUGACGCUGAGGUGCGAAAGCGUGGGGAGCGAACCGG
rnacentral:rRNA from 1 species